CUUAAUUGGAGAGACAUCUCUUUUUGACUGAGACCUUUGCUAGAUUGAAGCUGAUGUUUGAAAUGAAUUCAGCUACAUAAGGAAAAUUAUAUUUAAGAGAAAAAACAUGAAAUUUCAAGUGCGUCACCUAGAGGAUUUAAGCAGAAAUUCCACCCCUGACUCCGCCACUCUCAGUUGCUUGAUUUCUGACUGCAAGAUGGGUUUCUACCACCUGGAAAUCAUGAACAACCAGAACUUUGUUCCAGAACUGCC
rnacentral:lncRNA from 1 species